AGAGUUUGAUCCUGGCUCAGGACGAACGCUGGCGGCGUGCUUAAUACAUGCAAGUCGAACGGAAUCCAUUCAGUGGUAACACUGAUGAAGAUUUAGUGGCGAACGGGUGCGUAACACGUGAGCAACCUGCCCCAAAGACUGGGAUAACAGCGGGAAACUGCUGCUAAUACCGGAUGCCCCCAUUGGUCCGCAUGAACCGA
rnacentral:rRNA from 1 species